UACGUAGGUGGCAAGCGUUGUCCGGAUUUACUGGCGUAAAGAGCGCGCAGGCGGUCGUUCAAGUCGCGUGUGAAAGCCCCCGGCUCAACUGGGGAGGGUCACGCGAUACUGAUCGACUGGAAGGCAGGAGAGGGUAGUGGAAUUCCCGGUGUAGAGGUGAAAUUCGUAGAUAUCGGGAGGAACACCGGUGGCGAAGGCGGCGACCUGGGUAGAUACUGACGCUGAGGUGCGAAAGCGUGGGGAGCAAACAGG
rnacentral:rRNA from 1 species